rnacentral:rRNA from 1 species
GAUGAACGCUGGCGGCGUGCCUAAUACAUGCAAGUCGAGCGAACGGACGAGAAGCUUGCUUCUCUGAUGUUAGCGGCGGACGGGUGAGUAACACGUGGAUAACCUACCUAUAAGACUGGGAUAACUUCGGGAAACCGGAGCUAAUACCGGAUAAUAUUUUGAACCGCAUGGUUCAAAAGUGAAAGACGGUCUUGCUGUCACUUAUAGAUGGAUCCGCGCUGCAUUAGCUAGUUGGUAAGGUAACGGCUUACCAAGGCAACGAUGCAUAGCCGACCUGAGAGGGUGAUCGGCCACACUGGAACUGAGACACGGUCCAGACUCCUACGGGAGGCAGCAGUAGGGAAUCUUCCGCAAUGGGCGAAAGCCUGACGGAGCAACGCCGCGUGAGUGAUGAAGGUCUUCGGAUCGUAAAACUCUGUUAUUAGGGAAGAACAUAUGUGUAAGUAACUGUGCACAUCUUGACGGUACCUAAUCAGAAGGCCACGGCUAACUACG